AUAUUUUUUAUUGGCCGUUAUGGAUGGAAAGGAAGUUCGAGAGAUUACUGAUGACUAUGGAGGUGUUGACUUGCCAUGACAUUCCUGCUAUGGACAGGAAAUGCCCAAGCCCAUGGCUCCAGCUACAGUCCAGGACCAAGUCGUUUCUCCCACUGCCCCUCCUGAAGAGUGGAUAACAGAGGUAAAUGCACAUCUGCAAGAACACCAUGGACGAAAGCUGAGGUCAACGCUGUGAUGUGACGCUUCAAAUCUCAUAUCAUGAAGGGUCACUUGGCAUCUAAGAGGGA